GACGAACGCUGGCGGCGUGCUUAACACAUGCAAGUCGAACGGAAAGGCCCUGCUUUUGUGGGCUGCUCGAGUGGCGAACGGGGGAGUAACACGUGAGUAACCUGCCCUUCUCUUUGGGGUAACUUCACGAAACUGGGGCUAAUACCGGAUAGGAGCUGCUGUUGCAUUGUAGGGGUGGGAAAGUUUCGCCUGGUGGGGAUGGAUUCGCGGCUUAUGGGCUUGCUGGUGGGGGAGUGGUUUACCAAGCGUUUGACGGGUAGCCCGCAUGAGAGGGUGACCGGGGUCAUGGCGACUACGAUACGGCCCAGACUCCAACGGGAGACAGAAGUGGGGAAUAUUGCACAACGGGCGCAAGUCUGAUGCAGCGACGCCGCGUGCGUGAUGACGGCCUUCGGGGUGUAAACAGCUGUCGCCUGUGACGAAGCGGGAGUGACGGUACUGAGUGAAGAAGCACCGGCUAACUACGUG
rnacentral:rRNA from 1 species